CCAGCGUGGCGAAAAGUUUUUUAAAAGUCAUAAAAGGAACGUGGAGUUGAGGGAUUGUCAGGUUUCUACUUCUUCUCCCAACCAAGAUGUGGGAGAGUGAUGCGUCUGCACGAAGAAAAGGACACCGUGGAGACCUGGGCAAGUGGGACCAUAGCCUGCAAUAUGGAUUGCCAACGGACUGUCUUCUAAGAAGAGAAAUGACACCAGAGAUGUCUCUCUCUCCAUGUGGACACAGAAGAGGUUCCAUGAGGACACAGUGAGAACGUAGCAGUCUGCACGGCAGGAAGAAACCCAACCUGCUGACACUUUGAUCUUCGACUUCUAGCCUCCAAAACUGUGCCCACUCUGAUGACUCGUUGCGCUACUGCCUUUGAUCUCCACUAUAGAAAAUGCUCUGCUCCAUCUCAGAAGGGAUUGCCGUGUGCCCCAUUUAGCUGGCCUUUGGAUCAAACGAGCAACAGACCUCACAGCUAGAAUUCCACCGUUGGCCAUUCACAAAGAGAUAAAUUGCACUAGGAACUCAGCCAUGAAGAAGUGAAACAAGAUGUUCGCUUCCAAGGAGGAAACACGCUGGCCUGGAGAAAGACCCUGACUGCAGCAACACCUACACGGAGAAAGGAGGACCAGCUCUGUUUUAUGGGUAAGCAAACUGAAGCUCAGUGUUCCCUAAGGCGGCAGAAUAGAAAAGGGUUAGGAGCAUGGAGACUCAUUUGGGUCCUGAGUAUCCUACAUGCUGGCUGUGUGACUUUGGAUGAGUUAAUAUCU